rnacentral:snRNA from 1 species
UCACUUCAGGAGCAAAUAUUCUAAAGGUGAAACGAUAAUGAGAUUAGCAUGGCCCCUGUGCAAGGAUGACAUGUAAAUUCAUGAUGUGUUCCCUAUUUUU